rnacentral:rRNA from 1 species
UACGUAGGGGGCAAGCGUUGUCCGGAUUUAUUGGGCGUAAAGGGCGCGUAGGCGGCUUAACAAGUCACUUGUGAAAUCUCCGGGCUUAACUCGGAACGGCCAAGUGAAACUGUCAAGCUAGAGUGCAGAAGGGGCAAUCGGAAUUCUUGGUGUAGCGGUGAAAUGCGUAGAUAUCAAGAGGAACACCUGAGGUGAAGACGGGUUGCUGGGCUGACACUGACGCUGAGGCGCGAAAGCCAGGGGAGCAAACGGG